rnacentral:rRNA from 1 species
UACGGGGGGGGCAAGCGUUGUUCGGAAUUACUGGGCGUAAAGGGCUCGUAGGCGGCCAACUAAGUCGGAUGUGAAAUCCCCAGGCUUAACCUGGGAACUGCAUCCGAUACUGGAUGGCUUGAAUCCGGGAGAGGGAUGCAGAAUUCCAGGUGUAGCGGUGAAAUGCGUAGAUAUCUGGAGGAAUACCGGUGGCGAAGGCGGCAGCCUGGACCGGUAUUGACGCUGAGGCGCGAAAGCCAGGGGAGCAAACGGG